AUCCCCAAGGUCGUAGGUUCGAUUCCCACCGUGGCCAGGCAUAUUUUUCAAGCUUGCCCGGUGUGGAUAUACACUCAGAGUAACAUCACAAGCAUCAGUUGAAAUAAAGUUAUUCAAUAUCUUGCUUCACAGUGCUUAUAAAUAUGUAAAUGUUUACAUAUUAUGCAAAUACUGUAUAUUUUCAAAUCCGCCAUAUUUUGUUACAUUAGGAUCCAAGCACAGCAAGCUUUCGCGGCUCACGUCCGUGAUUUGUACUGACAGUAGGAAAAUAAAUCGGCCAAUUAUUUCAUUUUCGAAGCGAGAGGAAACGAUACUUCCGUAUGUGGCACAAGCGUGUACUCAACUUCCUUAUAUGACACAAACGUGUCCCCAGUGUAUUGUAUAGAGGAUGCUAUGUUGUCAUAAAGAUUCCUAACGCUCGGAACGAUUUGCACAACAGAAUGACCUUAUGGGUUAGCGAGUUACAACGGCCACUUUGAUCUUACCCUCCUAAUAUCACUGCAAAUCACGUGCGUAUCCUUCGAGGCGAGACGACACGUAAUACUUCGCGUGAGCGGCGAAAACUUGGGUUGUAAUAUAAGUAAAUAUGCCGGAUUUUGAAAAGUAGGCCAAUUUGCGUAACGUAUAAAUGUAUUUGUGGAUUUAGCAGCACUUUUAAGCAAUAUAUUGAAUAAUUUAGAUGCCAUAUAUACACUCUAUUUUAACUGCUAGUUAAAUUUAACUGCCCGUGGUCACACGUAAUUUUAAAGCUCGAAUAAAUGUAAUUCAUGGGCUUUGGACUUAUUCUAUUAUUUUGUUUGAAAUCUUUGUUGAAUGUAUGUGUAGUGGAAUAUAUGUAUAACGUGAUAAGAUAGGCUAUAUGUAUAACGUAAUAAGAGAUAAAAUUUUGCAGUUUAAUGGGAACUCCUAAUCCCACAUAAGAACGUGACUGACAAGCCAUUGCAUGAUGUGAUAUAUUAGGAUUUGAUUAUGCCCACAAUAUAGGAACAAAAUAUCAGUAAAUGUGUUCCAAUGACGCAAGGGUAAAUUUGUGGUAGAGACAAAACCUA